UCAGGUGUUGUCAUGACUGAAUGAAGUCAGACUGGAGAGUUUCCUUCUUCCACCUGGAACUGUGACCUCCUGUGUUUCUGACUCUUCACCUGUGUCUCCUCUCACAGGACCAGAUGAUCUGCUGCAUCCUGAUGCUCAGCAGCCUGGUCUCCUCUGUCUGGGGAACAUGUGUAGUGAAUGUGACACAGAGCUCCUAUCAGGCAGAGGAGAACGAAGACGUCACACUGGAGUGGACGUUCACAACCACAGCUCACAGCUCCUCUGACUCUCUCUCUUUCUAUCUACUGUAGUCUGUUAACUGUUGACAAAGAGUCAGUCCUGUUCCAUCUCCAUGAGGGCGUCGAGGUCCCAGAGUCUCAGGAUAAACAGUUUUCAGGACGAGUCCAGUGGGACACAGACGUCCUCAGAGAAGGACGACUCAGACUCCAUGUGUCCAGACUCAGGACUAAUGACUCAGGACUCUACCUGUGUGAAGUCACCACAGGUAACGAUGGGAGCUCUGACAGCUGUGACCUCAACGUCACAGCAGGGACCGACCUGAACCCGAGAGACCAGACUCAGCAGGUCGAGGAAGGAUCAGCCUCUACUGUGGAGUCGGACUGACAGCAGCAGCUCUACUGACUGUUUGUUGCUUUAUAUUCUUUAAGUGUUGGACUGGAAAACAAGAUUUCUACCCAGAGUCCAGUGGUGGAUCAGUGGGAACGGUUUGGUCAACA